GUGAGUUAGUACGAGUUAGCUUUCAUAUCACUAUGAGUACACAUCUCGCCUAUUACGUAGUAGUCUUCUACGACUCAAAAACUUGUUUUGAGAAACGAAUUCCUGCUUGAGAUGCUUUCAGCAGUUCUACGUUCCGAACGUAGCUACUCAGCGAUGCUGCUGGCGCAACAACUGAUACACUAGAGGUUCGUCAUUCCCGGUCCUCUCGUACAAGGGAAUGGUUCUCUCAAUUUUUAACACCCGAAAAAGAUAGGAUCCGUACUGUCUCACGACGUACUAAACCCAACUCACGUACCGCUUUCAUCGGCGAACAGCCGAACCCUUCGAACCUUCUUCAGCUCGAGGAUGCGAUGAGUCGACCAGUUAUGUUAUCAUUUAGGCUCUUUAUCCUAAAUUUCUACUCUUCACAGAGUAGCUCAGACUAUGUCAUUAACAAACUUUUUUGAAUUUUGAUUGAGGAAGUUUAGAGAGCAUACGGUGUAAAAAAAAGAAAAAUAUCUAUUUUUCUUUUUUUUGCAUUGGGAUUAAAUAAUUUUCCAGUAAAGCAAAGAGUGUGUCACUAUCGUGACGAGGAAAUUCAAUGACAUAAUAGUGUGUUUUAUGUGAAAUCACACGAGAAUGCAGAUGAAAUUUCUUAUUUAAUUCUGUUGCUAAAAGAGUGUUCUCUUGUAAAGAAAAACUUUGAGUAUGAAGAAUAAGUGUAAGGUUGUUUUUUUGUAAACUUCCAUCACACAUAAUCCAAUAAGCUAGUCCUUUUGGAGUUAAAAAAUCACGAAUAAGUCCUUCCUUUAUUACUUUUUUCCAUUUUCCAUUAAUUUUUUCGUGAAAUAAAAGAAAUAAACGAGUAAAAUCAGGAAAUGAAAAAGUUUUAAACCAAUAACUUUUCACACUUUUAUCUUUUUGAAAUCUUAUUCCAGGUUCUGACAUAAAACAAUACCCAGAAAACACAUCAAAAAGAUGAAAUAGAAAUUCUUUUUGUUUUACCCCUUGUUCAAAUUUAAUCAAUGCAUUAUGACUUACGUAAUACAUUGUAGCAUCACCCAAGACCAUUCCUACAGCUGUAUCAAAACAAUCAUGUGGUAAUUGGUGUAAAAAAAAGAAAAAUAGAUAUUUUUCUUUUUUUUGCAUUGGAAGAGUUUUUUUAUAAUUUUGCCAAUAGGGUGAAUUCAAAUGAUAUCCAUCUCUUGUGUUUUUUAUAAUUUUGGUCAUAAUUUCAAAAAAAAAUUGUUAGUGGGCGCUCGUGGAGAGAUUAUUGAUAGGAAGUUCUCACUCUCUAGUCGUUGAACGUUCAUUGUUACUUUUUUUUCCAUUCACAAUGCUUCGCUGCAAAUUGUCUUUUUCUCGGGUUAACGGAAAAAGAGUUCCUUGCAAUUCACCCACUUUAGCCUCGACUAUGGCUUUAUUUAAUCGAGGUGCCAAACGACUCCGUCGAUAAGAGCUCUUGGGAGUCAUCAGCCUGUUCAAUUGUGUUAUCAUAAAGGCUUUUUAUCCUUUAUUUCUUUAUGUUUCCAUAAAGUUCAGACUAUGUCAUCAACUCUUCUGUUUUGGUAAUUUAUGUUUCAUUGAUGGAAUGACUAAAUCACCUAAAAGGCUCAUCAUUAAAUCAUAAUUUCUAGCUGAAAUCACGACAACAAAACCAUUUUUAUUUCGUCUUUUCCAACACUCUAAACCAAAUUUCUUGUGUAAACCAUCACAUAAUAACUCAACAUCUUGUUCUGUAAAACUUUGUGUAUUAAAUGCAAACCCUUUUCGUGGAUAAUCUUUAUUAUAAUUCGAUUUUCCACCAUCAUCCAUAAACCAAUAAGCAAAACUUCAUGGUGUGAAAUACUUUUCAAUUAAAACAGGUUUCACAUGUUUUUUACAUUUCACUUUAUUUUCAUCUAAAAUGAAAAGUUCAGCUAAUGGGAUAAAUUCAUGAUGUGAAAUUGUUUGAAAACUCCACAUAUUUCGAUGAAAAGCGAAAUAAGGAGGAGAGAGAGACCAUUCAUUGAAAAUAUCGUACAAAUGAAAAAUAUACUCGCAAUGUAGAUUCUUUGAUUGUUGAAAUUUCAGAUGCAAAAAAAAGAAAAAUAUUUAUUUUUCUUUUUUUUACACCCGAUAGGUUUUCCCUUUAUCUUGAGUUUGGAUACUCACAUCACCAAAGAGUAGACCAAGAGCAAUUUCUAACUGCGAUUGUGACAAACUUAGUGUAGUUUUGUAGACUUUGAGAAGGUUUCGUUGUCUUGAUGUUGGUUUUUGCAUAAAAAUGUGAGUUUUUAGAGUUGCUGGGCGCUCGUGGAGAACUUAUUGGUUGGAAAUCCUCAUUCUCUAGUCGUUGAACGUUCAUUUCUACAUAUCUUUUGAGAUAAUUUUCCAUUUGAAAUGCUUCGCUGCAAGUUGACAUGGCAUUGGUUUUUAAAAAAACCUCAAGCUUUAGCGUUCUUGCAAUUCACCCAGUGUGUUUUAUUUUGAGAACUUGUUCUCAAAAAACGCUUUUCUUCUCGCGAAGAACUAGGACUAACAUGCUUAAUCCCUAGCGUACCUUUGAUCCGUUGAUCGAGAGCCUUUCCACCAAGAACUCCCGGGUCACUAUGGCCGACUUUCGUCUCUGCUUGACUUGUAAGUCUUACAGUCAGGCAAGCUUAUACCAUUACGCUCUACAGCUGAUUUCCGUCCAGCUUGAGCUUACCUUCGCACACUUCCGUUACUCUUUAGGAAGCGACCGCCCCAGUCAAACUACCCAUUUAACAGUGUCCUUUCCCAGAAAAGGUAUAAAGCGUUUUUAUUUUUUUCUGUUUCUAAUUUUAGAAGGUUAGAAAAAUGAGAAAGAAAGGGUGGUAUUUCAUUGACCAAUACUUAGCUAGGCUAAGUAUUGUCCCACCUAUUCUACACAUUCAGACUCUUUUUUCAAUGUUAAAUUAUAGUAAAGGUGCAUAGGGUCUUACCGUCUACUUUCGGGAACUCCGCAUCUUCACGGAGAAUUCAAUUUCACUGAGAUCAUGUUGGAGACAGCGGGGAAGUCGUGACACCAUUCAUGCAGGUCGGAACUUACCCGACAAGGAAUUUCGCUACCUUAGGACCGUCAGAGUUACGGCCGCCGUUUACUGGGCCUUGCAUUUAGAGCUUGCAUACUUUUUACCUCAUUUUGUCAAAAAAACAGAGUUUUUUUGACAAAAUGAGGCACCAUGUGCGCACCCCUCCUGUUAAGUUUCCAGCACCGGGCAGGUGUCAGACCCUAUACAUCGUGUUACCACUUAGCAGAGUCCUGUGUUUUUAGUAAACAGUCGCCACCCCCUCUUUUGUGACACACAGGCUCUUUUCUAUAAUUAGAAAAGAGCUCCAUGUCCUCCUUUUUCCGAAGUUACGGAGGUAAUUUGCCGAGUUCCUUCAACAUGAUUCUCUCUUAGCCUUAGUUUUUACAACAAGUCCACCAGUGUCGGUUUAAGUACGGUGUUUUUUUUCUAAAUUAAAAAAAUUUAGAAUAAAAUCUAGUUAUUUCCUGGACCAAUCUCUCCUUUUUUCUCUCUAAAAAGAACAACAAGAUAUCCAUUAACUUGGUAAGGAGAUGAAUGGCCGUCACUAAAUUUUACAUCAAUGAAUUUUUUUACAUUGUACCCAUCAAGAUCAAGCUGUCGCUCUUCUUUUAGGGGCCGAUUCACUCUACACCGAGAUACGGUCUGUAGAAAACCUAGGACUUUCGGCUAUCAUGAUUUUCACAUGAUUUAUCGUUACUCAUGUCAGCAUUCUCACUUCUGAUAUCUCUACUUCAUUUUACAAUGAAGCGUCGUUGACUUACAGAACGUUCUGCUACCUUUUCAAUCGACACACUUUCAAUUCGUUACAAAAACGAUGUUUUUGUCAAUGAAUGAGUUAACUCUGAUUGAAAAUCGCCGCUUCGGUGAAAUUCUUGAGCUCCGAUACAUUUUAGGUGCUACUAGACAUAGACCAGUGAGCUAUUACGCUUUCUUAAAAGGAUGGCUGCUUCCAAGCCUACCUCCUGGUUGUCUUCGCCUAGUAACUUCCUUUACCACUCAGAAUUUGCUUUGGAACCUUAGCGUUCGAUCUGGGUUGUUUCCCUUUCGACUUGAGACCUUAGCGCCUCAAGUCUGUCUGUAUCGCGAAUAAAAAGGUAUUCGGAGUUUCCCUGGGAUCAGUAAGGCUUUGGGCCACCAUCACCCAAUGAGUGCUCUACCUCCUUUUUACCUUGCUAACCAAAUACUUCUAUUUGGCUCCGAUACGCUCUACCUCAAUAGAUUUCGCAGAAAACCAGCUAUUUCCAAGCUCGAUUGGCUUUUCACCCCAUAAUCACAAGUCAUCCCCAUCUAUUGCCACAGAUGUGGGUUCGGUCCUCCAAAACGUAUUAUCAUUUUUUCAACCUGCUCAUGAUUAGAUCGCUUGGUUUCGGGUCAAAUUUAUGGAACUUUGCAGGUUUUUCUUUCUCCAAAGAAGAAAGGGUAUACCUUAUUUGCUCUUUUCAAGCUUGCUUUCACUCCGCCUCCACUUAUGAGCUUAGGCUUGCUCCAUAAAUUUACUCGCUGACCCAUUAUGCAAAAGGUACGCCGUUACUCUUAAAAAAAGCUUCGACUGCUUGUAAGCAUUCAGUUUCAGGAUCUUUUUCACUGCUUUGUUUAACGCUCUGUUUCACCUUUCCCUCACGGUACUAGUUCACUAUCGAUCAGAAGAAUAUAUUUAGGCUUAGAGGGUGGUCCCCCUUGAGAAGAUUUAAAAAAAAUAAAUCUUCAAUUCAAACAAAGUUGAUCUUCGUUUUACUCAUUUUUUUUCAUUUUUUUUAUUUUUUUUUUGGAGUCUACAGGGCUAUCACCUUCUUUGGCUUGUUGUUCCAAACAAAUUUAACCCCAAAAAAAAGAAAAAAAUGAAGGCCUACUCCGCAUUCGCUCACCACUACUAACGGAAUCUCGGUUGAUUUUUUUUCCUCUAGUUACUUAGAUGUUUCAGUUCACUAGGUAAUUGAUAAUCAUUGAGUUUUCUUAAGGAAAUCCAGAGAUCUAGGGAUUGACGCACCUAUCUAUGGCGUUUCGUUGCGUUUAACGUCCCUUCUCUUCUUCUGUCUAGGCAUCCACUAAAUGCU
rnacentral:rRNA from 1 species